AUGUUAUAUAUAUAAUGUACCUUCCUUCACACUAUCUGAGUCAUCUCAGUGUUGGCAGAUUUCUUGAAGCUCUGAACCAAGAUGUAUGCGAUCCUAAAAAGAUGGAGUCUCCUGCCCUUUGCCACCAUCCUCCUGUCCAUCCUUCCCACACAAACUGCAGUGGUGAACUCAAUGGUUGACUCUCCUGGGUUUGUUCUUGAUGAAAAAACACCAAAUGUCCCCGACGUCUUGCUGGGUGCUUUAGGUGCUUUAGGUGCUUUAGGUGCUUUAGUAGGUGCUUUAGUUGCUUUAGGUGCUUUAGGU